AUACGGAGGAUCCGAGCGUUAUCCGGAUUUAUUGGGUUUAAAGGGAGCGUAGGCGGACGCUUAAGUCAGUUGUGAAAGUUUGCGGCUCAACCGUAAAAUUGCAGUUGAUACUGGGUGUCUUGAGUACAGUAGAGGCAGGCGGAAUUCGUGGUGUAGCGGGGAAAUGCUUAGAUAUCACGAAGAACUCCGAUUGCGAAGGCAGCUUGCUGGACUGUAACUGACGCUGAUGCUCGAAAGUGUGGGUAUCAAACAGGAUUAGAUACCCUGGUAGUCCACACAGUAAACGAUGAAUACUCGCUGUUUGCGAUAUACAGUAAGCGGCCAAGCGAAAGCGUUAAGUAUUCCACCUGGGGAGUACGCCGGCGACGGUGAAACUCAAAGGAAUUGACGGGG
rnacentral:rRNA from 1 species